GUCUCUCCUGUCCCUCUGUGGAUGCCAAGGAGACUCUUGUUUAUGGUGAUGGUUGUGGAGCUCUAAGAGGGUCUGCUUUCCCUCUCACGGCUGGGAGCUACCAAGCUAGAUUCAUGGGUUCUAAAAGAAGGCAGUCCCGCAGUAUAAAGGGAGAAUCAGAGAAGCAACUGAGGGUAGCAACAGUUUCACAGGACUGAGCACAGAGGGUGAUUCGGAACACUUGAAAGAAGCUGAGAUCUCGGAGCCAGGCACAUCAGUUCUCAGCCUGAAGCAGAUGUCCUAACCCAUCUGUCCAGGGGCUGCAAAACAAGCUGAGAAGCGAGGAAUGAGUACAUUUGUUUCCCACCUGUUGGAAGCAUUCUCUCUAGCUUUCUGGAUCCCAGACCCCUCUUAGAGCCCAGGGUCCUACUGGAUCUGUGUUAGUUGUGUCCACUGGCCUGCUUGUCUCAGCAUCUUUCAGGGGAGCCUCUUCUUCACCUGCAAAUACCCUGGGCAUCUCUAGAACGUGGGCACACAGUGAGUUUCCCAUCACUUAUUCUUGACUGGGCUGAAUUGGAGCCUGAUUACAGCUCUGUUUGGCACAUGAGCUGUCAACAGAGACUGUAGCCGGGAGCUCACAGUCCCUACCGGUCACCCCUUCCUCUUCCUUGUUCCUGUGAAGAAGAGACCAAAGCAUAUGUGCAGGUAGUUAAGUAAAAGAGAAUCAAAUAAAACAAAAAUAAAUGAAAAAAAAAAAAGAAAAAGAAAAGAAGAAUUUCAAGUUUUCGAAAAAGGAGGAACUCAGGACUGCUGGCAGAGAACCAAACCUGGAAAUCCAGAGAGGUUUGCCCAUCACUAAUGACCAUAUAAUAUGCUCCCAGAGGAGGGGCUGAGGGCAGCUAUUAAAAUACCGCAUCUCCCGCGCUCUACAGGAGAGGAUCCUUCUGAGACACGGGUGCCGUCUGUUCUCCCCUUGGGAGUUAAAUUUCCAAGUGAAGAUUGGAUUUGCAAGGUAAAAUGUUGGGGAAAGCAGCCGGGGAUCUUUCUUUUCCCAGCCAGGCUCUGGAAAUGCCUUGUUGUAGAUUUUAAACGUGGUGAUGGGGCCAGCUUGUUAAGUGUGCUGUUGGCUGGUUUGUUGAGUGACUGGCAGGGAGCCUCAGGGAACGGAAACUAAGUCAUUUGUGGAGUAUGAGGUGACCAAAGUAGCCAGAACUAGACUUUUGUGACGUCUUCCAUCACAACAGUUCUUUCUAAAGGUACUGGCAACUGUUUCCUUCUAGGUAGACAUGGCUCUCUACUGGAGUGCUCAGGAGGCUUUUGACAUUUUGAGUGAUCCCCGUGGAAGACGAGACACCCUAAUUUGACCGUGUCCUAUAGAUUUCAAUAGAAGACAUCAGAAACAGGGUUUUAAAAGUAGUUUUAUUAAGGCAUAAUUUAACACAGAUCACCCAUUUUAAGUGUGUAGUUCAGAGUCUGAGCAAAUGUAUAUACUGAUAACCCAUAUUGAAAUUAGAACAGGACAUUUGGAUUAUUCCAAAUAGCUUCUCUUCCCCUUUUACAAUCAAGACAGUCCUCAGGCCAAAGAAACCACAGUCCUGCCUUUGUCCUUGAUGUUGGAUUUCCUGUUCUAGAAAGCCAGACACUCAUGUGGUGGAUAGAUUUACAUGCAGAAAAAAAAAAACAUUCACAUAAGAUAAAAAUGAAAUAUUUCUAUACUAAGCCUAUCUAAGCAUCCAUAAACAAGGUAAUGGAUAAAAACAAUGUAGUAAAUUUGCACCAUAGGUCACUAUACAGCAAUGGUAAUGAGUGCUAUAUAACAUGUUACAGACACAGCAUGGAUAGUUCAUAAGUGGCAUAUUGAAUAAAAGCUAGACAUAAAAAGAAUAUUAGUGAAUGAUCCAUUAGUAUGUGUUUAUAUGAAGUUGAUAGUGGCUGCCUGUCCUUGGUAUGGUGAUUAGAGUUGAAUGCAGUGGGAACAUCUGUGGAGCUGGUCAAGUUCUGUUUCCUCAUCUGCUUACU